UUGCUCUCUGUUGGCUGCAAUGAAACUGUACAUCUUGACUUUUUACAGCUUUUCCAUACUGGGGCCCACUUCCUGCCCAGUUGAAGAAAAAAAUCUGGCCUGAAGAUGAAAUGACUGCUUAACAUUACACUAAAACAUCUGGUACCAUUUUAUACACAGACCCAUGUCUGAGAGCAGGCAAUUCUAGCGGUCUCACCAGCGGCACAGUGCAUACCCAAACCUCCCUAGGGUGACAUCAUCCCAUAUAUGGACUCUCAGGCCCAGCCCUCCCCCUUUUCCUGGUCCUAAAUUCAUUGCCAGAUCCCCAGUCUGCUGCAAAUGUGCCACGUCAAGACUGGAAAUCACAGCACUUCAGUGUGUUUCAGUUUUGCACACUAGGGAAUAAGAAACGCUAAGGGACACUGAGAAAAAAGGAGGACUUCAGAAUUAUGCGGGAAAGACAUUCUGGUAAGGCCUACUUUGGAAGAACACCUGGCCUAUAACCUGACGAACCUAGGUGAUUUCCCCUCCCCCAUCCUUCCAAUCAUCACCGCAAGAAAGAUGGAGCUCUGAUGAUUUACUAAAACGUAUGCAAGAAACAGAAAGGUAUAAUAUAUAUAUAUAUAUAUAUAUAAAAAAAAAAAAAGAGAGAGAGAGAGAGAGCGCUAUAAAUAUAUAUAGAUAUAGACAUAUAUUACCCAGAGAGGUGUACCAGUAACUUCCUCUUUUUCUAACUUAAAAUAAAGCUUGUUUUUCCCCAAACAAAAAAGAUAAAUUAAAGGUUUUGUAGACUGUGGCAUUUAGUAUGGAUAUAUAAGGGGGAAAUGAAUAAAAAAAAUGCAGGAAAAAUACUUGAUAAAAAUACGCAUUUUAAAUAGCUCCUGUUAUGAAAUAUAGUUUUUAUGUCAAUUUAAAGACACUAUUUCUGUUUUUUAAAAAUAAAUCAAUACUUAGGAAAUGUUUGUUAUGCUAUUAAAUGAAAAACAGUGUUAAAUAUUUCUAAAAGUGCCACUGCUGGAAAAACUGUUCUUUAAUUUUAAAUGCAGCUGAAAACUUCUUUGCAAAUAAUAUAUAUCAUAUAUUCUAACAAAAAGAAGUAAAAGCGACAAGUAAAUAUAGCAUGAUGCAUCAAUAGGCUUUUGCCACCAGAAAAACAAACCUCUGAUUGGCAAGUAAAAUUUUUCCUGAGAACAGAGACUGAAAUGGUAAAUAACAAGUAAAAAAAAACAACCCAGUAAUGUAAGGUCACUAUAAAUGUCUGGGCAUUGUUUGCAAGAGAUCAGCACCAACCGAUGGUUACAGGUCUCUUGUCUAUACUGUGCCUUGCUGAUAUUUCUUCUAGCAUUCAAAAUGAUAAGUUACUUUGUCUCAAAUCCCACUGAUAAAAAUGGAAUUUGUAAACGAAUGCAAAAGUUUUCUUUGGUGAGUUUCCAGCUGUCCUGGUAAGGGAAAAAACCCCUCAGGCUAAAUGAAAUCCCUAUGGAGAAAAUAAUACAAAAAGUCUGGGAUGCAAUUUGAUACCAGCUGAACUUCAGAGUCAGCUCCCUUAAAGUUAAUACAGAUAAACUCAUACAACUUCAAUUUAAAAACAUCUAUAUAACGAUCAUUAUUUCUUGGGAGAUUUUGAAUUCAUGUAUUACAAACAGAUACCAAAAAUACAACUAACAUUGUAAUUAAGAACAUGCAAAUAGAGAUUUUUUUAAUCAAUCUUGAUGCUAUGAUUUUUUUUAAAACAUAUCCAGUAUUACCUUUCUCAGUGCUCUUUCAAAGAUAAGUAAGAGCCCUUUGAGGAGCUAUAGUUAUUCAGCUUUAGCUUCACAGUUCCUAUACUGGUGAUCAAACUGCUUAUAAAGCAAGAAUUAUCACUCUUAUUUCCCCUACCUUGCGUCGUAGUUUGUGUAUUUUGACUAAAAAUAUAGUUUUAUUAUAUACCUUCUUUGGUUCUAUUCCAUAAGAGAUUUUAUCUCAUCUUUGGCACAGAAGAAAUAUUUUAUUAAUCAGUUACAACGUGAUCAGAAUUUUGUGUUCUUGAUCUUUUUUAGAAAAAGUGAUCAGGAAAGUAAUAGCACACGUUUAAUGCAAAGUUCUUAACAGAAAUAAGAGGCAACAGAAAAAGCAGACAAAUGAAACUGAAUUCAUAUACAUUAAUAUUUCUUGCUUCUAAUAUAAAAGUUGUUUUAGGCAUGGCGAAUCUGAAGUUUUAUGGCUUGACUUUUGUUUAAGUGGAAGAAAAUACAUAGGCUUCAGAGUCUUUGCUCCACACUAAGAAAUUUGCUCAGCUAGUUUCAAGGGAAAUAUGCCCCGUAUGAAGAUUUUUCCUGGGUUUUUUUUAAUAAUCACUUUUACAUCUUUCAUAGCUUCUAGAGUAGAAUCACGCAGCCAGAAAAACUGGAAGCCAUUCAAUGAAAGCCAGUUAAGUAAACUAAUAUUAAGUGAAAGAAAACUGGAAUCGACUUCUGCUAAUUAGGAAAGAACAAUAAAUACAUGCCGAAAAUGUUUCUCUUUCCUCUUUACCAUUUAUUUGCAUGCAUCUUGACAUAUUAUAAUCCUAUGUAUUUAGGAAUUAUUUCCUCCACCCCCACCACUCCUCAAUGUUACAUUUUUAGACUAUAUGGUUGAAGAUACAGGGGGGCCCCCUUGAUGUGAGUUUUGGAAAAAAGGGAGGGAGAUUCCAGUAUGCAAAUAGAUAGGAAAAGAAAGACUGUAUUGUUUAUAAGGGACAAGGAAAUACCUACUUCAGUACAGCAAUCAAAAUGAUUUCAAAAUAUGAAUUCAAGUAACUCUACUCUUCUUGAAAAAAACAAACAAACACAAUUUGAGUUGAAACAACCUCUAGUUGAUUUUAACCAGCCAGAGAAAAAGAAUCAUACUUUUUUUAUUGCAGACAUUUGAUUUGAUACUAAUAAGGAAACAAUAUUUAUGGGAAUCUGAUUAUAAAAAUAAAUUAUAAAUAUGCAUUCAUAGAAAUACACAGCAUCAAUAACCAGACUUUUACAGAACAAAGAAGAAACAAUAGGAUUUGCACAGACUAGAAAUAUUAAUUGCGUUUAGGUAGGGAUAAAUUAAAGAAUUUAGACAGUUUCAUGGUUCCACGACUGUACAAGCAGUCAAAACGAUUGCAUACAGUAGAAUGUCUGAUGUGAAAGACUUUUCCUAUAGAUAAUACAACAACAAAAAAGGCAAAUUAAAAUCAGUACAAACACCUAUUCACCACUAGGUCAGUGUUUCUGUACAAUGGAUCAGUUAGACAAGUCAUUUUCUUUAAAAAAUAAACUAUUAUGUCCAAAAAAGUAAGUAGAGGGAGAAUGGGGGAAAAGAAAAAAUAAUAUUUUUUUUAAGAUGACGAAUCAUUUAAUAAAAAGAAGAAAAACAGGAACUAAAGGAAGCAACUCCUUGACCUUACAGAAAUGAAAUAAAAUUCCAGAUAGACACAUUGAAAAAAAUGCUCAAAAAGGGAGAAAAAGCCACUGAGUCUUCAACCCUUUGUCAAUAAGUUGCAUGUUCUCCCUCCCCUGUUAGGGCUAUUCCCUCUGGCUAAUGUGUUUGUCUUAGCCAGAUAGACUAAAACACUACCACCUUCCCCCACCCCCCACACACAAACACACUUCUGCAGACCACCCAAGUAUCAUUGCUAUGUGGGAAAUACUAUAAGCAAAAAAAAAAAAAAAAAGUCAAAUAUCAGCAUUUUUCAAACUUCUAGACAUAUUAAAUAGUAAAAUACAAUAGUGUCAGGGUUAGGGAAUCAAAUAUAUUAAUCAGAAUGUGAAAUAUAUAAAAAAGGUCUCAUAUGUCGAACAAGAUCCAAUUUCUUUACUUAAAAAAAAAAAAGUAUUUUAUUUUAGGAAUAGCGCUUUUCUCAUCUCCAGCUGCAUAUUUCAACCUUACUUGCAAAGAACUCUACUUACUAGAAAUGUGCUGCACAGAAAAUUCCAAGUUAAAAUAACAUUAAGGGUCAGGCUUUUACCUACAAGAGACAGGAAAUACCAAAAUUGAAGUUGGAACUCUUUUUAUUCACUCUAGCGUGCUUUAGUACUGCAUUAUAUAUAGUUUCUUUAAAACAUAUAUCACCCACUUGAAUAGAGACCAGUACAUGUUGCAAUUGCAUAAAAUUUCAGUCUCAAGUCAGUUCCAUAGCUACCAACAGUUAAAGUCAGACCCUUCAAUGUUAUUUUAAUAUAGGUUUGCGUAGUAGUCUACGAGGUUUUUUGCCUCUGCAUUCCUAUGCUUUCAUAAUAUAUGUGAAAUAUUGAUUUACUUAAAUCAAACCAUAUGUUAUUAAUUCCUUUAUCAUAUAUUGCACAAAAAAUAGCCACUUAGUGUACAAUUUUUGUAAACAUGCAACAAGUGCCUUUAUAAAGUAUAUAUUAACCAACGGACUAUAGCAGCCUGAUCAUGAAGUACUAAGUGAAAUGGUUAGUUUAAGAACGAAAUAUACUCUCCUCAGUUCCACUUAUUAAAAACAUCCAACCACAUUAUUCUAUUCAGUCUCCCUGUGUUUGGUCAGUAAUUUCUAGAACACCACCAAAUAACUCACCUCCUUUUAUCCUCACCCUCCCAACCCCAUUCCACAAAUACUUGCUGCCCAUAUUAAAGUGUCCUGUGCAUUUAGGGUUUGAUCCUUUUGUGCUAUUGGUUCCAAGGGUGCAUUGUUUGGAUUUUUUUUCCUAGACAAUUGUUCUUUUUUGGAAUGCCGAAACAAUAGGAAGACACACUCCUAGGUUUUUCCUCCAGCGUAAAGAUCCUUGACACAUUUGAGCACCAAAUCCACAAAUGAAAACAAAUGAAACUUAUAAUUAACAAAUCAUUUUAUGUAGUUUUAAAAGCAUUUUUGAUUUAUCAUUUACUUUUCAUGAAAGCAAUGGAGUAGUCGACAUUAUGAACUUAUCUUUUAAAAAUGUCAGGCUAUUGGAGGGCAAAAGUACAACUUUAAAAGUACUCAGUUGUAAUUUCACUUGGAAUUCCUAUAACAUUUUGAACAAUAGUUGAAGACAUUACACAUCUAUUGUCUUAACCGAAAUAAAUUAUACAUGGAGUUUUUGGUCGUGUUUUUUUUAAUAUACCUAAAUUUCAACUUGCAAGGUUUAAAGCUGAUAAUGCAUACAUUUGAAACUAGUCUGUUACUUAAAGAAAUAUAGAAAUUAGGACCAGAAUAGUAGAAUAGUUCAUAUCUAUCAUGAAACUUAAAAAACAAACAAACAAACAAACAAAAACACCUGAAAAAUAUCUAUCUUGCAUCCCUUUAAUAAAAAUCAACCCUAUUCUAGCCAAUGUUCAACCUGAAGUAAUUUUUUAAUUCCUUUUGUUCAGUAUGGCACAGGUUUUAGAAAAGUCUAAAAAUACAGUUAGAAUGACCUCUGAAAACUACUCCUGCUGGCGCUAGUGAGCAACAAUGACUUAAACCAUGAUUUGUAUUAAAAAAAAUAUGGAACGUACUUUUUAAUCCAACACCUUUUUUAUUUUUUAUUGUUUAACAUAAGUUAGGCAUGCUCAGGGGAAUUUGAAAUUAAAAUGUUAUAUUAAAUGAAUUAUUAGUAAACUAAGCUCCUUUUGAAUGUUCUAAAGCAAAAGUUUCAUAUAACAUCAGUUUCACUUCCAGCAUAUUCUGCCUUAUUGGGUUGCUUCCAUUUAUACAGAAAGAUUUUUUUUUUUUUUAACAUGCAAGCUUGUGGUACUUAUCUGCUCCUAGAAAAUAUGUACUGUGUAAACAUAUCCUUUAUCUUGAAUGUCAGUAUUUCUGCAUUUCUAAGAAGAGUAAAAACAUCUGGUUAAAUCAUGACAUGCUGUGCAAUUACAGCAUAUAGGCAAACUUUUGUAUGAACUGCAUUUAAAAUAAACCAUGAUUUAAAUCAUUGCUCUUUUAAAAACGUUCAGUGUGGCCAUUCUAUUGAAAUCCCAUCUCGUAUAAAUGUCAGCACAACUAUUAUGUAACAAAGGCAUAUUUUCUGAAUAAAAUCAAAUGAUGUACUUGUUCUACAGCUCCCUAAUGUUUUAAAGUGUAAUUCUGUCAUGUGUGUUCCCUGCCCCUACAAAUUCCCUAAACUUGGAAUGGGACAGACUGAUUCUUAUGAGACGGUGAGGAAAGGACCCCCUGAUGGAUCCAAGGGAUUGGCUGGACGGAGUUGUCAUGUGUCUGCCUGUCUACACUUGCUGUGCAGAACAUCCACUCACCUGUACAGCAGGCACAGACAGGCAGUCACAUGACAACCCAGCCUGAAUGACAACCAGCCAAUGAGAGAACAGCUCUGACAGACUAUAGCAUCUUCACCAAGAGCUACAGCAAAGAAUCAUUUUUGGAUUUCAGUCUGUUGGUUCAAUAACUAAAGUCAUGUGUACUUUUUAUUAUUAUUAACUUGGUCAUAAUAUUGAAACCCAACCAAAGUAAGAUGAACGGUGCCUAUAAAAUAAAAUAAAACCCACUGCUGAAAUUUUUA